rnacentral:rRNA from 1 species
UACGAAGGGGGCUAGCGUUGUUCGGAUUUACUGGGCGUAAAGCGCACGUAGGCGGAUCGUUAAGUCGGGGGUGAAAUCCUGGAGCUCAACUCCAGAACUGCCUUCGAUACUGGCGAUCUUGAGUCCGGAAGAGGUGAGUGGAACUCCUAGUGUAGAGGUGGAAUUCGUAGAUAUUAGGAAGAACACCAGUGGCGAAGGCGGCUCACUGGUCCGGUACUGACGCUGAGGUGCAAAAGCGUGGGGAGCGAACAGG